UGAUCCAGACUUUGAUUAUGGCUCAGGAUGAACGCUGGCGGCGUGCUUAACACAUGCAAGUCGAACGAAGCAUUUAGGACAGAUUACUUCGGUUUGAAGUUCUUUAUGACUGAGUGGCGGACGGGUGAGUAACGCGUGGGUAACCUGCCUUGUACUGGGGGAUAGCAGCUGGAAACGGCUGGUAAUACCGCAUAAGCGCACAAUGUUGCAUGACAUGGUGUGAAAAACUCCGGUGGUACAAGAUGGACCCGCGUCUGAUUAGCUAGUUGGUGAGAUAACAGCCCACCAAGGCGACGAUCAGUAGCCGACCUGAGAGGGUGACCGGCCACAUUGGGACUGAGACACGGCCCAGACUCCUACGGGAGGCAGCAGUGGGGAAUAUUGCACAAUGGAGGAAACUCUGAUGCAGCGACGCCGCGUGAGUGAAGAAGUAAUUCGUUAUGUAAAGCUCUAUCAGCAGGGAAGAUAGUGACGGUACCUGACUAAGAAGCUCCGGCUAAAUACGUGCCAGCAGCCGCGGUAAUACGUAUGGAGCAAGCGUUAUCCGGAUUUACUGGGUGUAAAGGGAGUGUAGGUGGCCAUGCAAGUCAGAAGUGAAAAUCCGGGGCUCAACCCCGGAACUGCUUUUGAAACUGUGAGGCUAGAGUGCAGGAGGGGUGAGUGGAAUUCCUAGUGUAGCGGUGAAAUGCGUAGAUAUUAGGAGGAACACCAGUGGCGAAGGCGGCUCACUGGACUGUAACUGACACUGAGGCUCGAAAGCGUGGGGAGCAAACAGGAUUAGAUACCCUGGUAGUUCACGCCGUAAACGAGAAUACUAGGUGUCGGGGCCCAUAAGGGCUUCGGUGCCGCAGCAAACGCAAUAAGUAUUCCACCUGGGGAGUACGUUCGCAAGAAUGCAACUCAAAUGAAU
rnacentral:rRNA from 1 species